rnacentral:rRNA from 1 species
UACGUAGGGGGCUAGCGUUGUCCGGAAUCAUUGGGCGUAAAGCGCGUGUAGGCGGCCCGGUAAGUCCGCUGUGAAAGUCGGGGGCUCAACCCUCGGAUGCCGGUGGAUACUGUCGGGCUCGAGUACGGAAGAGGCGAGUGGAAUUCCUGGUGUAGCGGUGAAAUUCGUAGAUAUCGAGAGGAACACCGGUGGCGAAGGCGGCCAACUGGACAGAUACUGACGCUGAGACACGAAAGCGUGGGUAGCAAACAGG